GUUUCUCUCUCUCUCUUCUCUUCUCUCUAACUUAGAACCUGUUCUUGUUCUUGUAUUAGAGAAGAACUGAGAUCGCUUGCGAAGAUCGAGCGUGCGCACCUCAACUAAAACUCUCUUGAGUUUUUGCAAACAGAGAAGCUUGCAAAAGAAGAGUGAAAGGUGGACUUGUGGCAAUUGAGAUUGAUGGAUCCGAUAGCAGUGACCUAUGAGACUUGUGUCGUAUGCCAGACACAGACUACAGAUCCUUUCAGGCCCACAUAUUGCGACCAUACCUAUUGCAAGAACUGUGCACUGGUCGAGAUGAAGUCUGGGAGACAGCGUUGCAGAAUUUGUAAGGAACCACUACACUUCCUGGUUAGAGUUAUGGAUUAGUUCAGGAGACCGUUCAAAAUCUGCCCUAUGCGAGACUAUGUAAUGUUGACUUGGUAUCUUCUUGUUGCUUGCAUACUGAUGAUGGUUAUUGUGGACACAGCAUGUUUGGUGACGUCAGGUCUCACCGUUGGGCUGGUUUGGCCUCUACUGCUGCCCUACUUGAUGGUUUCCAUUGUCAUACAUACUAUUGCAUGGGUGAUUCUACUAGCCUUCCGUGCAGUCAUGUGGAUCAGGUAUGUUGUAUGGGUGAUUGGUCACCGUCUUGCAUGGUUUGUUGGCCCUUGAGCCCUCAUGCGCUCCUUAUUGGUACUGUUGGGUCGUGGUGACACUUUAGAUAUAUAGAUUGGUGGAUGGAUAUAUAGAUAGAUACUAUGGUUUGUGAUGUAUAGAUGGUACCUGUAUGCUCAUGGGACCAUUGGGCUUGGCCUCUGCUACUACUUUACGAUCUGGUGUCUAUGCUCAUGUCUAUUCCGUGGUUGGUUUUACUUAGCUUCCGUGGAUCAGAUAUUCUGGCCAGGUGAUCGGUCACCGUCUUGCAUGGUGUGUAGACCCUUGAGGCUUCAUUUGCUCCUUGUUGGUGCUAUUGGGACGAUUUUUCCAUGAUGACACUAUAGAUUUUGGAUAUAUAGAUUCAUAGAUACUUGUGGAUGGUUUCAUGGUAUUGAAGGAUAUGUGUAGGCCGACUUUCUUGGAUGAUUUUACAUGAUAGCUCUUUAGAUAUAUAGAUCGAUACUUGUCUAUGGUUUGUGAUAUACUGAUCAUAUAUAGAUAGAAAUGUGGGACCUAAUUCCUUUUGUUUGAAAAACAUGUUCAUAUAUAUAGAUAGAAAUAAGAAAUAUGGGACUAAU